CUAGUAAUCGCGGAUCAGCAUGCCGCGGUGAAUACGUUCCCGGGCCUUGUACACACCGCCCGUCACACCAUGGGAGUCGGUAACACCCGAAGCCUGUAGUCUAACCGCAAGGGGGACGCAGUCGAAGGUGGGAUUGAUGACUGGGGUGAAGUCGUAACAAGGUACC
rnacentral:rRNA from 1 species